rnacentral:lncRNA from 1 species
GUUCGUUUGAAAUAACCAGCACAAUUGACUAUAUAAAUAAAUAUUGAUUCCUUUUAAUCAUAAAAUAAAACACACAUGAAAUGGAUGAAUCACAAAUACGAGCUGCUAGAGAAUGCGGAUCUUGUUUUAAAAGAUGUGGUGAUAGUUUAAAUGAUAAGUACCAGAACAUACAGAGCAGACAGAACAGUCCAUCAUCUUCUUUUUUGUCAGAUUUGAGUUGUGUAGUUGAAAAAACAGUGAGACAUUUGAUGUUUUUCACAGCGACGGUGGCUAAAUUACGAGAAUACACAAACUAGAAAGACAACAAUCGUUCACAAAAUCAGGAAGAAACGGGAAUUCGAAUUCCAGUCACUGUUGGACUUUAUCUGUGAGAGACAAAAUAAACGUACCUUAUCUUGUGAAUAUAUAUUUCAAAUAUCCAGAUAAUAACAAUGCAAGGCAUUUUAUCAAUCAAAACAGAACAAUGAGGUGUCUAAGCAGGUGUCCAUCUGAAGUCAGGUACAGGCAAAAAACCCAUAUUUGGAUGUCAGUGUAUUCACUUAUAUUUUAUACUGUUUAUAUUGCUCUCCUAUGUUUCAUUGAAACCUGAAC